AGAGCCCAGCACCGAAGCCUGCGGCAGCUUUGCUGUUAGGCAAUGUGGUGUGUGGGUCGGCUCGCGGGACCAUCACUCCACUCGAAGUCCAGCAUUGAGUAUGGCAUCACUGGAUUUGGCCCAUAGAGGGUGAGAGGCCCGUACGGGUGGAGGUUCAGACAUGUGCGAUGGUUCACCAGGCCGGCCUCAGAGUCGGGUUGUUUGAGAUUGCAGCCCAAAGAGGGUGGUAAACUCCAUCCAAGGCUAAAUACUGCCACGAGUCCGAUAGCGAACAAGUACCAUGAGGGAAAGUUGAAAAGUACUCUGAAGAGAGAGUAAACAGUACGUGAAGCCGCAUGCAGGUAAACGGGUGGCGUCAAGCUGCGAGCCCGGAGGAUUCAGCUGACUGGGAUGUAGUGUGCGCGCGCCUGGUGCGUCGAGAGGCCGGAGUAAGAUGUGGCGGUCCACUUCUCUGUCGGGAGUGGGGUGCAAUCGGUUCUGCCGGUUGUCGCUAUGCAUGCCGGGUGGGUGCCGGAGCAUGCCGCUCGUCUGUUGGGCCACCUAGUCAGUGCAUUUUCUCCGUGGUGAACACCACGACCGGUGGAACUGCCAGUCUGCUGUGAGCAAGUCGUGUCCUCCUGAUGCGUUUCUGUGUUGGGUGGGCGCGAUCGCAGGCGGAAUGGGUGAACGGCGCAGUGGUGCCUCGGUACUGCCGCGUGUUAUCGUGCACUCUCCGUCGUAAGCGGUUAGUGGGCUUGUGCUGUGACUACUUGCCCGCUAGCCGGCGGCCCGCAGUGGUGAAAGUGACUGUGCAGGGCACCGGAGUUGUCCACCUCAUUCAAUAUGGUAUCCGGCACGCACGUUACAGGUGCUGAGGAAUCGGGGUGCGCCGCUGUCUGCCUGGUGUUGGGCCUGACUGUCGUGUUGCCUGCGCAAAGUGGGUCCGGCGGUGGUUUCAACGCUUGGUAUUGGCAGUGUGUUGCGCGUCUCGGGUGUCUGUGGUACC
rnacentral:rRNA from 1 species